rnacentral:rRNA from 1 species
CUCCGACUUCAUGGGGUCGAGUUGCAGACCCCAAUCCGAACUGAGACCGGCUUUUUGGGAUUCGCUCCACCUUACGGUAUCGCAGCCCUCUGUACCGGCCAUUGUAGCAUGCGUGAAGCCCAAGACAUAAGGGGCAUGAUGAUUUGACGUCAUCCCCACCUUCCUCCGAGUUGACCCCGGCAGUCUCCCAUGAGUCCCCGGCAUAACCCGCUGGCAACAUAGGACGAGGGUUGCGCUCGUUGCGGGACUUAACCCAACAUCUCACGACACGAGCUGACGACAACCAUGCACCACCUGUGUACGAGUGUCCAAAGAGAACCCCGUCUCGGGGGCUUUCUCGUACAUGUCAAGCCUUGGUAAGGUUCUUCGCGUUGCAUCGAAUUAAUCCGCAUGCUCCGCCGCUUGUGCGGGCCCCCGUCAAUUCCUUUGAGUUUUAGCCUUGCGGCCGUACUCCCCAGGCGGGGCACUUAAUGCGUUAGCUGCGGCACGGAACUCGUGGAAUGAGCCCCACACCUAGUGCCCAACGUUUACGGCAUGGACUACCAGGGUAUCUAAUCCUGUUCGCUCCCCAUGCUUUCGCUCCUCAGCGUCAGUUGCGGCCCAGAGACCUGCCUUCGCCAUCGGUGUUCCUCCUGAUAUCUGCGCAUUCCACCGCUACACCAGGAAUUCCAGUCUCCCCUACCGCACUCUAGUCUGCCCGUACCCGAUGCAAGCCCGAGGUUGAGCCUCGGGAUUUCACACCAGACGCGACAGACCGCCUACGAGCUCUUUACGCCCAAUAAUUCCGGACAACGCUUGCGCCCUACGUAUUACCGCGGCUGCUGGCACGUAGUUAGCCGGCGCUUCUUCUGCAGGUACCGUCACUUGCGCUUCUUCCCUGCUGAAAGAGGUUUACAACCCGAAGGCCGUCAUCCCUCACGCGGCGUCGCUGCAUCAGGCUUGCGCCCAUUGUGCAAUAUUCCCCACUGCUGCCUCCCGUAGGAGUCUGGGCCGUGUCUCAGUCCCAGUGUGGCCGGUCGCCCUCUCAGGCCGGCUACCCGUCGACGCCUUGGUAGGCCAUCACCCCACCAACAAGCUGAUAGGCCGCGAGCCCAUCCCCCACCGAAAAACUUUCCAACCCACACCAUGCGAUGCGAGCUCAUAUCCGGUAUUAGACCCCGUUUCCAAGGCUUAUCCCGAAGUGGAGGGCAGGUUGCUCACGUGUUACUCACCCGUUCGCCACUGAUCCACCCAGCAAGCUGGGCUUCACCG